UCUCCCGGCCCCUCUCCCUGCAUCCCUCUCACCAGUCCUCCCUCUUUCCCCAACCACUGGUCCUCCUUGACCGGGGGGAUGUGGCCGCCGGCUGGCCACGGGUGAGGUGGCGGGAAUGGACGUGCACGACUCCGUUGGCUUCUCAGCAGUCAGCUGUCAAGGGUGGAAUUGCAGAGGAAUGUAACAAUCUCAUAAAAGUUUGCAGCGGGUUAAGCUAGUUAGGUAAUGGAAGAGAGGCUGCGUGUAACAACCUUCACCAUCCACUUGUGUGUCUCCUGUAUACUUUUUCUCACCCACGCUGUAACAGUCACCAUCCCUCUGAAUGACAGUUGUGCUUGUGGGCUCCUUAAAGGGAAUGUGCGAGGAGGUUUAGGUGAGGAUGUCUCUGGGGAGAGAGGGGAGAGCACCUACCAUCUGCGCCCUUUUUAAAGGUAGUAGUGUAUGGCUUAUGUACACCCACUAGGGGUCUCGAGAGUGGGAACGCUAGUGUUUGAAGGGAGAAUCUUAACCGGAUGUGUUUAUUAUAGUCUAUGAAUUAUUAAAGCUGAAACCUGCUAUCUUGACUAUGCAAAGGAUUAUACAGAUAUUGAGAUAUGCUGUUCCUGAUAAUGGCAUAAAUCUGUUUUUUAUUACAUAUAUUUUUGGAGAGGACUAUAUAAAGAUUACCGGGAGUCGGGGGAACGCAAAGUCCAAAAUAGGGGGACGGCAGAGAAAGAAACUGAGAACGAGAAACAAGAGAAUUGGUUUUUUUCUAUGAAGGAUGUCCAUAACUUCUGGGGUCCUGCGUAACUGGUUACACUUAGUGAACAGAAAACUAUCCCUAUAAGGUCUAUUGAUGUCUGCAAUUCUGUUUUUUAUGGCCACAUAUGAUUUUUAUUUCUUCAGGGCCCAAUAUUAUUAUUUUGAGAUAACCUCAACACUUUGAGAUUUGAUUAAUAUUUAACUUUUAUGAGUUCGGAUUACUUGAUUUCCACUUUAACAAGUAUAUAAUGAUUACAUCGAUGAGAUAUUGUGAAUGCAAAUGUGGAAAAGUUUAAACACAGAAAGUAUGUAAUUUUUUUUGGAUGUGAUUAUUUGAUCUCAUACAGUCAUUUCAUACAAGACUAUACUUGUCUUAGUGUUUGAUAAUGUAACAUUCAUACAGUUUGAAAUAAUUACAGAGGUCCCAAUCCUUAGAGCUUAGUGACUCUUUAAACGCCUGACAUCAUUUAGCUUUUGAUAAUACUACUCCUGUUAUUCCAUUCUGGUAUUUUGUCAUAUCAGAAGAAAAAUGAUUUUUAAAACACUUAUACUUCUAUACUCUCUUUCAAAUUUAUUAUUUUUACCCUUUCAAAACUAUACAUCUUUGUAAAGUAGAUGUGUAGGUGGUAAUUUCUCUUUUAUUACAGCAUUUUUAUUAUUUAAAAAAUCAUAAAGCUGUAUUUCAGAUAACACCAAAGCUGAGUAGUUUAGUAUUAAAGCAGUCUAAAUUUACCCAUAAGUGUUAAAAAGGGUUUUUAAAUGGAAGUAUGUUAUAGACCUUGGACUUGUAAGCAUCCUAUAAAAUUGUCUGAAUAGCAAAGCACUUCGAGUUCUCCAAAACUUGAGGGUUUGUGUUUGGGAGCUUUUGAUCAGUUUACAGUGUCUUAAAAAGAACACCUGUAUUGUUAGCUGUGUGGUUAAAGAAACCACUCAACCUUUUCAGCCUCCUCUCCUGCUUAUUUUGAAGACUUCAUUUUGAAGAUUAGAAAGAAAUGAACAUCAAGGCCCGUGUUCAGUGCCUGGAAAAUAGUGGCUAGUAUAGUUAUUAUUUGAUACAUGUUGGUCCUUCAGAAAGUACAUAAACUCUAGGAUUCUCUUAAUUUCUACUUUAUUAGAUGACUAUAGUAUAUAAAAUGUUAUGUUCAUAGUUCAUUUAUGCAACAGGUGGUAUAAUGAGUUGUUUAUAGUUCUUGUUUGUUUUUGUUUUUACCUUCUGCCCCUUGGUUCCUUUGUGGUCGGUGAAAAAGGUAUGUUAGGUUAACUAAGCAUAGAAUCUCCUAUGGAAGAUAAUUUUGUUUAGAAUUUAGCAAAUGGACUGAAGAAACAUGUCACGUUAAGGAAUACAGAUGUGGAUAUAGAGAUAUACCACUGUUGAAGGAGGGCAGGAAAGGGGUUAUAACAUAGUUUGAUUAGAUCCCAAAAGGUUGUUCAUCACCCAGUCUAGAUUUACUUUUACCUGCAUAAAAUCUCUUCUAAACUUCUAGCCCUCAAUGAAUCAUAAUAUUUAGAAUUUUGUAACAUUGAAUUCUAGCACUUGAUCAGUGUCCUGUAGGCUGCUUUGGUCACUAAGUGCUUAAGAACUUACCUUAACUGGAUCUAACUCUGUGCCAUGUUCUAUAGCAGGACAGAAGAAGUAAAAGACAAGAACUCUAGAUCCUUAUUAGGAGAAAGAACUAUAUUCUCAGUCUUCCACUUGAAUUCCUUUCUUUGCCCACCACUGUGACUUAAACGUUUUUUCCCUAAAAAUCCAAAUGAAGUGAAAUAAAUAUUCAUGCUGCAUCUUGCUGUCUUAUGCAGCCAUUGUAGAACCAGGACUCAUGAGUUUUUCCAUUUAUCAAAUAUUUAUUGGAGACAGGAGUUUGUUAGGUAUUGGCCACCUGGCUAUUGGUACUGUGGGUUGAUGCAGUGGUCAGCAAAACAAAUAUUGUGCCUAGAUAUACUGUAACCAAAUAGUUGCACAAAUAACAUAGUUUUACCAACUUUAUUUGCAGUGCUAUGUAAGAAAGAUGUAGGGUCUAGUAAGGAUAUAAUGGGACCUGAUCAUAUUGGAGUUGGGAAGGCUUGUUUUCAAGAAAUGUGACAUCAAGCUAAAACCUAGAGGGUAAGUUAAUGAUAGGGCAGAACAGCAUUCCAGGCCUAGGGAACAGUAUAUGUGAAUAUUGUGAGGGGAAGAGAGUGGUGUGUCCAAAGAACUAUCAAGAGGCCAGUAGAAGAUUUUAUUAUAGAUACAGUGGCAGGUUCUUGAAGGAUUUUUCGUGAGGUAGCAACAUGAUCUGUUUGGUGUGAACAUCUCUGGCUGCUGGAUAAAGAAUGGAUUGGCAGGGGCAACAGUGGAAGCAGGGAGACCCAAGCUAUUACUGAGUUACAGAUAAUAACAGUUGGUGGCAGAAUGAGUUGCAUGCAGGUGGAUUGGAUAUGGGAGUGAAAGAGAAGUAGAUUCCCUGAUUUUGGACUUGAGCAACUGUGUAGACGGUGCCACCAUUGCCUGAGGUGGCCAACCCAGGGGAAGGACUAGAUAUGAGAGGGGAAAGAGAGAAUUGUGUUUUGAGUAGUAUCUUGAGCUGGUAAGAUAAUUAGCCCAAGAGUCAUAUUGAGGGAGGGGGGCUGAAUACAUGUUAUAUCUACAUAAACUUUAUAUGUAUGUAUAUACACAUAUGUACAUACACACGCAGGUAUGUGUACAUAUAUGUGUAUGUAUAUACAUGUGUAUAUACGUGUGCAUAUAGAACAAAAAUAUAUAUGUGUGUCUAUAUACAGAGAGAGAGAGAACACGCACGCGCUGAAGUCAUGGACUUGAAAUGACUUCAGUAGAGUGGGAGGAUAACAGAAAAGAAUUCGAGUUGGGGAGGGGCGCCUGGGUGGCUCAGUCCGUUAAGUGUCCAACUUUGGCUUAACUCGUGAUCUCACGGUUUGUGGAUUCGAGCCCCACAUCCGGCUCUGCUGUCAGCAUGGAGCCUGCUUGGGGUACUCUGUCUACCUCUUCUGCCCCUCUCCCGUGCAGGUGCAUGUGUGCAGUUUCUCUCUUUCUCUCUCAAAAAUAAAUAAACAUUAAAAAAAAAAAAAGGAAAUAGGGUCUGGGGUUGGGAAUAGGGAAUGUGUAAGUCUGUUAGAAGUUGAGGAGACGAGAGCAAGGGGAACUGAGAAGGAGCUGCUAGGCUGGCGAGAAAUAGCCAGGAUAGCAAUGUCAGGGAAGCUGAGAGAAGAGUUUUAAAGAUGCCAGAAACUCUUCAGUGCUGAUGCCAGGAAUUGAUUUUUUUUUAAUGUUUUUCAAAAAAUGAAUCCAAAGUAGUGAUUCUUGCCCCUACAAGAAGAAAUUUAAAAGUGAAAGGCAAACAAAUAAGCAUCUGAUGGGCAACUUCACUUACAGAUGGACAACGUGAUGAUCAAAUGUAGAAAAGUUGGGUGGUAGACAAUCCAUAAUAGCUUCUACUGGAUUUAAAGCAUUAUUAAAAGAGUUCUAAAGGUAGAAUUACCUUUGCACAGUAGUCCUUAGUCAAAGCUUGAGAGCCUUUGGUGGUUGGAUGUCAAGACUUUGCAUAUGGCCUCUCUGUUACAGCCUUUUUCCCUAAUAAGAAGAGGAGGAACUACAUUUAGUGUCUUUUAUGUCUCCCUGAGCUUACUCAUUUUUCAUACGUUGCAUCAGAAGCAGUUCUUACACAUGUUAUUCGUGAUAAAAUGGGUUCACAGAAGCUGAAGAAAUUACUUACUGCUACUCAUAGAAAGUGAUACAACUGGAAAUCACUCCCAGGGAUUUCUCACUCCAAGGCUUAGAAAUAGUAAGUAGCUCUUAUCUCUUACUAUGAUCUCUUCUGCCUUCCUGUUCCCCAGACGUGCUGUGAGAUGACAGGGAUGUUGAGGGGGACAUGUUGGAGAUUACCAACAUCAUCCCUCUGCCCUGAUUUCCUUAAAGUGGAAUGAUUAUAUAACUGAGAGAUAUGAGGAGGAAUGCUUGUGAAAAUGUGAUUAUUGAUGAACAUGACUGUCGCUUUCAUAGGAUAUGGGCCUGUGUCUCAUUUAUCUCCAUACAGAGAAUAGGUACUUAAUAAACAUUUGUUCAUUGAAUGUAUUGGGGUAGGUAGUUCUUCCUUCUUAACAAGGAAUUUACGUAGAACAUCAUACAGUAUGUUAUCUCCACGUACUCGUGUAGCUGCUUCUCUGAGUGGGUUGCAUUGAUUCUUGGACAAGAAAUUCCACACACUACUAACUACUUCAGUACAUAGCUUGCGUCCUUGAAGGUUCCUGAAGGAACAAGAAUGGGUCACAUCCUGGGAAGGGAGGGCGGGUAGGAGAGUGCCAGGACUGAAUAAAGGUGGGAACCUGAUAAGAAAUAUUUGCACGUGGCAAAGUCAAACUUGAGAGAUUUUACACUUUUGCCAGGGGCUCUACCCUGCUUAACCCAAGCCACCUGAAGUGAAAGCUGGUUUUUCCAUAAUACUGUACACAGUCCCCCAGGUUGUCUACCCUGCUUGGGUAGAAGGAAAGAUAAACUUUGGGAUUUAAAGUGUGGCAGAACUGUACAUUGCUAUCAUAAUUGAUGUCUUCCCAAUCCCAUGAGACUGGAGGGGACUUGAGGGGGACAUGUGUUUUUUUUUUGUUUUUUUGUUUUUAACGUAUAUUUUAUUUUUUGAGAGAGAAAGGACAAACAGGGGAGGGGCAGAGACAGAGGGGGAGACACAGAAUCCAAAGAAGACUCCAGGCUCUGAGAUUCAGCACAGAGCCUGAUGCAGGGGUCGAACACACAAUCAUGAGAUCAUGACCUCAACCGAAGUCAGAUGCUUAACUGACUAAGCUACCCAGGCAGCCCUCUUGGUUCUUUGGUGUUGAGUGUGUUUGUUUCAAAUAAUUUUUUUAAUGUAUUUAUUUAACUUGAGAGAUAGCACAAGUAGGGGAGGUGGAGAGGCAGAGAGAGAGAGAGAGAGAGAGAGAGCGAGCGAGAAUCCCAAACAUGAGGAUCGUAAGAAUUUGCCAGGGCAGAAUCCAACACAGGGCUUGAACUCAGGAAAUCAAGAGUUGGACACUUAAUCAACUGAACCACCCAGGUGCCCUUUAAAUAAAUUUUAACUCCGUGUUUCAUAUAUGUGUUUGGAAUGUUUCCAGUAGUAAUCCUAUUGAUACCUUGCUGAAGUGAAAUGAAUAUGGGUUUAGUUGUUCAACAAAUCCUUACUGAGCACCAGCAGGAACAGCACUGUUUUAAGUGCUGGAGAUACAGCCAUGAACAGAGACAAGUCAUGGAGCUUUCAUUCUAGUGUUAGGAGAAAAUAAGCAAAUGGGUUAGAUGUAAUUACUGUGCAGAAAAAUUAAAGGUGGUGAUGGCUGGGGUAAUGCUUUAUAAGGGUGGUCAGAGAGGGCUUCUCUGAGGCACGAACAGACUCUAGAUGAGGGAUCACCCCUUGCAGGUACUUGGGGUAGAAGAGCAAUCUAGGCAGAUGAGUGAACAGCACCAUGACCCUGAGGUGGAAGUGUGUCCGGGGUGAUUGAGAUACGAGAAGGCAGCAGUACUGGAGGAGAAAGGGAGAGAGAGGAGAGGAGGUCAGAGCAGUUGUGAGGAGCAAACCUAAAGUAAUGGUGUUUGAGGUGAUGACAGGUGUUAAGGUGCUAGGUAUAUUUAAAAGAUAGAAUUGUUGGGAUUUGCUGAUGGUUUGGAUGACGGGUGUGUGGAAAGAUUAAUGCUAGGGUUUGUUCCCUGUUUGGAAUGGAGUUGAUACUUGAGAUGAGGAAGAUUGUGGAAAGAGCAGGUUUGGGAGGUGGAUUCAAGAGUUGGUUUCAUUGUGCAAAUUAUUUCUACCAUGGGGCAGGCACUAACAAAAUGACAGCCUCUACUUUGUGAAAUAAUAGUACUUAAAAAUGGGUUUUAAUUUGUAGCUUAAAAAUGUGCUUUUAUACUUCAAAUUUUAGGUCAAGCCAUGAAUCAGUAGUUGUUCAGAAAGAGUAUACAGCAGAGUACAAAGAGUGGGCAACAAAGGAGUGAGGACAACAAUGAAAACAACUUAAAAUAAUUGAAGUUAAAAACAUCAGUGUUUUCUUAUUUAAAAUAUGAAAGCUGUCAUCUGCCACUGACUCCUUUAUCCUGUGAUUUUUUUACUAGAAUCUGUAUCAGUGCUGUCUAAAAGCUGUUACGAAAAACUGGUACUGAUAGAGAACUUGGGGAUUUCUAAUUAGAAGGUGGGAAAAAUCUAAAAAGCAAAAACAGCUUAGUGGAAUGUUGUCUCUGCAGAAGCUAAUUAUGACAGGUGAUUUGUAGUGCCCUUGGGCUCUGAAAUUUCCUUGCUUUAAAUUUACACUCUGCUGUUUUUCAACAUUGACUAAUGAGACAUUCAUCUAGGUUGAGAAUCAUAGAAACAUCUGAGAUGGUUCUUUGUUUUGGUGUCACUUAGUUCCUUCAACAGUGUGGUUUCUAACAGAGUUAACUAUAUAAGUCAUUUUGGGGUUUUGUGGAGGGUAGGUGACUUUGUAGGGUAGGCUUGAUUUUUCCAGUGGAGAUUUAAAGGACCUGUGAGGACCCUGACCACCUGCUGUGCUAUGGCUUCUGUGCUAUCAUUUUAUUUAAAUAGUUCUUGUUAAAGUGACCGGUGACCUCUAUCCUAUUACCAUGUCCAGAAAACCUCCUCCCCUCACCCCCACCUCCUCAGCAUUCAGCCUUCCAGCAGAAUUUGAUUUUCUCUUGAGCUCUUCUUUGCCCUUCUUUGGACUUUGUAACACCACUUUGCCUUUUAACUUUUCUCCCUUUUUGGCUCUUUGAGCACAGGGUCUUAGGCAGUCUCCAUCAUGUCCAAAUUGGCCUUCCUCAAGGCUUGAUUCUGCCUUUUCUUCUUCCUCUGUUUUCCUUUUUCUUUCCCUAUGCUGUAUCAUCUGUAGGCUAAUGAAUCCCCAAAUUUUGUGUCCUACCCACAUCUCUUUAGUGCAUUCAGGACAUCCAGUGACUAUGGGAUAUUUUUGCUUCUUAUCUGAAGGACACCCUGUGCUCACACACUUAGGAUUUUCUCCCUCCCAUUCCAAAAGCAAAACGACCCAGGCAUCUUCCAGUAUGCCCUAUGGCUCCAUGGAUGGUACCACUAUUCAUUGUGUUACACAGGUGAGAAGUAUAUGAGUGAGUCAUCCUUGAUACUUUUUUUUUCAUCCUCCCUCAUUGAGUUUAUCACCAAGUGCUUUCUAUCCCCUUUAUUUCCUAAAUAUUCUUUUCAUCUUCACUGUUCCCAUCCUAAACCAAACUGUAGCAUGUCCCUCUGUAACCUAAUAACUGGAUUUCCCCUAUUCACUGUGCACUCCCAACACUGUUGUACCUAGAGUAGUUUUAAAACAAAAAGGAUAUGUUAUCCCUUGGCUUAAAACUAGCACCUCAUUGUCCGUGUCUGGCUUACCUGUUCCUCACUGUUUCAGUUACUCGGUGGCACAGUAUUUCCUUUGGCCAUAGGGCCUUUGUACAUAAUAUUGUCCAAGAUCUCUUCCUCCCUUCUCCUCCAUACAUGCAUUGUUAACUUUUCAGUUUUAAGAUUUCACUUCCAUCCUGUUUCCUCAGAGAGGAAGCUUUUAUCCUCUAGCUGGGACAAAACGCUUCUUCCCUGAGAGCCUUUAUAUCAUGUAAUAAUAGUAUAUUUAUUAAUGUGGUUAUUUGAAUUGACAUGAGUUGACUUCAGGCUCCCUGAGAAGCAAACUAUGUCUGUGGCUACUUAUCAUUAUGUGUUUCUAGUACCUUUUAUAUAGUUUUGACUGUAGCAUGCCCUGAACCAAUACAUUUUGAAAUAGAGAACUCAUUCUUUGUAAAUUAAUGGAAUACAAAAGAAUCUUAUACUCUUUGACACACCUUAUAUUUGUUAUUUAGAAUCUCUAAAGGACAUUUGACAGACAAAUUACCCCAAUAUGCAUAUUGGGAGUUUAAGAAGCCAAAGAGCCCAGUAAGUAACCUGUCCAAAAUCCUAGGACUUGUAACUACCUGAGCCAGGGUUGGAACUUGGAGCAAAUAUUCUGACUUUAAGUUGGUGUUAAUUCCAGGAUCCUGUGGUUUAAUACUGUAUAAGUUCUUUGUUAUUUCGGUGAUUGUUUUCAUUUUUAAAUACCCAUGACAGUUGUUUUUAAGUUCAUUGAAGAUAAUGUAGGAGAGAUUUGGAAUCCUCAGUAUUAUUGUAUGAAUGUAUAUCUUUUUCUAGUGGAAAGUCUUUUAAAAAAAAUUAUAAGAGGGGUGCCUGGAAGGCUCAUUCGGUAGGUCAUGAUCUCGCAUUUUGUGAGUCGAGCCCUGCAUCGGGCUCUGUGCUGACAGCUCAGAGCUUCAUGCCUGCUUCAGAUACUUGUGUCCACCUUUCUCUCUGCCCCUCCCCCACUCACAUUCUGUCUCUGUCUCAAAAAUAAAUAAACAUUAAAAAAUAAAAAUUUUAAAAAUUAAAUAUAAGAAAGGUUUUUUGGUUUUUUUUUUUUAAGAUCUAAUUGUCAGUAAUCUGCAUACCCAAAUGGAGCUCAAACUUCUAACCCCAAGAUCAAGAGCCCUAUGCUCUGCUGACUGAACCAGCCAGUCGCCCCUGAGGAAGUUUGUUAUAAAUGGAAUCUUAACUAAGGUUUUGUUUCCUCUGCCUUUCCCUAUCCGUACAUACCUCCCAAAAGACCUAAAUUUUUUAAUGUUGUAGGGCUAUGCUUUCUGCUAGUGUAACCAGUAGUCCUAUGUGGCUGUGAAACUAAGUAUAAACUUAAGUUUAAAAUUCAGUUUUUCAGUUACUAGAGCUACCUUUUAUGUGCUUGAAUACCCACAUGUGGCUAAUGGCUACCCAAGUGGGCAGCUGGAGAGCUGGAAAAUUUGCAUCAUUACAGAGAGAUCCAUUAGAACAUGCUAUCAAGGGAAGUAAUACUUAAUAGGACUUUUUUCCUUCCUUCAUUUCUCCUUUCUUUUCUUCCAUAUUGAAUAGCCUAGUUUAAAAUAACUAAAGUCAGGGGUGCCUGGGUGGCUCAGUCAGUUGAGUGUCCAACUUCAGCUUAGGUCAUGAUCUCCACAGCUCAUGAGUUCGAGCCCCACAUCAGGCUCUGUGCUGACAGCUCAGAGCAUGGAGCCUCCUUCGGAUUCUGUGUCUGCCUCUGUCUCAGCUCCUAACCCACUUGCAUUCUCUCUCAAAAAUAAACAUUAAAAACAAAUUUUAAUUAUUAAAGUCAAAUUUUCUUGUAAUUUUGCAUGGGAUCCUUCCUCAUAUAAAGGUGUUUAGACAUAUUAGGCCCUCCAUGAAGUGUUUGUUGAACAGUGGAAACUUCCCAUUUCCAUCUGAGACUGAAAAUCUGGGUCUUUAAUUGGAAAGGUUAUAAGGAAUUUCUUAAUAUUGUAUAAAGUGUUAAGGUUUCCAAAGCACUCUUAACUUACAUAUCUGUAUUUGGUCUUCAAAUCUAUCUUUGGAGGAGGAGGUAAGUUUUAAGAUCUUGAAGUAGCAGUCUCAUUUUGCAAGGUCUGGUUUGUCUAAAGUCAACACAACUGAUACUUGGUGAGGCUGAAUCUUGUUGAAACUGGGUCUUUGCCUUCCUCUCCUUUUCUUCUGAACCAGUGAUUUCUAAAUAAGAAUCCCCUGGAGAAAAACUACAGACUCCUUUCUUCCAAAAGUUUUAAAAAGCUUUCCUGGUGUUUCCCAGAGAGCCAGGUUUAAGAACCAGUGUCCCAGAGCAUGUUGAGAGUCUUACACUUUGGUUAUGCCUAUGACAGUAGUACAUUGUUAUUUUUUUGAUGUGCUGAUGAUACUCAACUUUAAAAUACCCUUAUAUACGAUAAGGGUACUACUCUCAAGAUCUCCCUUUAACCCUUCAAUAACAUGUACUGAAUUGCAUUAAGUUACCAGUUAUUGGAUGUCUGUCGUGUUUCAGGAGCUUUCUGUAGUCUGAGCACAAUUAACUUCCAAAUCAGGUAAUUUAUCAAUAGACAAACUCAGAGGCUAAUAGAACUUGCUGAAGUCUCUUAGCCAGUAAGUGAUAGAUGGCUGUUUAUAUAUACCUGGAAACAUUAACAAAAGCUUACCUGUGAGGUAUUAGGGCCGACAUGUAUAUUGCUUUUUAAGUGGCCUCUUAAAAUCCUGUAGGGAGGGGCGCCUGGGUGGCUCAGUAGGUAAAGCUUCUUCUGACUUCGGCUCAGUCAUGGUCUCACAGUUCAUUGGUUAGAGCCCGGUGGCAGGCUUUGUGCUGAAAGCUCAGAGCCUGGAGCCUGCCUGGGAUCUCCUUCUCUCUGCCCCUCCCCCGCUUAUUCUCUCUCUCUCUCUCUCUGUCUCUCUCUUUCUCUCUGUGUGUGUGUGUCUGCCUUUCUGUCUGUCUCUGUGUCUCUCAAAAGUAAAUAAAAUAAAAUCCUGGGGCACUUGGGUGGCUCAAUAGGUUAACCGUCCGACUUUGGCUCAGGUCAUGAUCUCCUGGUUCACGAGUUUGAGCCCUGCAUUAGACUCUGUGCUGACAGCUCACAGCGUGGAGCCUUUUUCAGAUUCUCUGUCUCCGUCUCUCUCUACCCCUCCCCUGCUUCUACUCUGUCUCUCUCUCAAAAAUCAAUAAAAUAUUAAAAAAUAAUAAAAUCCUGUAGGGAAAUCAGAGGUAUUAUAAGUACUAAGUGAUAAGUCUGAAUCCUGAAGAGUUCAUGUGGAGUAGUGGGGCCUACAUACUACUUUCUCUUUUAUAGGACCUAAUGGUUUUAGACAUAAACACUCAGUCUUCUAUUUUAGAAAUUAAGUUUGAUGAUAAAUUACUUCCAGCAUUGGUUUAUCUGUAAAUUUCUAGAAAUAAUAUGCAAUUGUGUAAAUUUGUAGGCUUGGAAAAAUUACUUGACUGUGAGUUAAUCCCAAUUAUUUGGAACAUUUGCUGACCAAAAAAAAAAAAAAAGAGAGAGAGAGAGAAAAGCUGAUCUCUUAAUUAAACAGAACAACAACAAUAAAGCAAAGGUUUUCACAUAAAAGGGAUUCGAUUGACUACACCUAUACUUGGAAACUGUAUAGUUAUACUUUAUUCACAGUGAUCACAAAUAUGGUGCUCUGGUUUCCAGAACCAAAGUAAGUUGGAAGGGAAAAUGAAUACUGGCAGAGGUGGAUCCAGAGAUAGGUAGCAUGUCAUAGAAGCAGAAGGCAAGUAAAUCAUAAAAAGCAGAAACGAGGUUUUCAGUAAAUAGCAGUCUAGAAUAGCCCUUUAGAAUCGAUGCAAAGAACAGCACCUGAAUGUUGGUUAUUGUGGCAUCUCCAUUGCACAGCGCUGGCACAAAAUUUGUUUUGUUUUGUUUAUUUUUACAAUAGUAUUUAAAUCUUAAAAGAGACUCCAGAAAUGUACAUUUUUGGGAAAUUUCAGUCUCAAGCCAUCCUAGAGUAUCAAAUUUUAAGAAGCUGAAAAUCCUUUUUUAUAAAACUAACAAUGUAAAAAUUUACUCCAGGGUUUCAUUUUUUACUUAAUUUAAAAUAUUUUGUUAUUAGUUCAUUAUGCAAAGAAAAAAUAGAAGAUUAGGAAAAUAAGGAAAGCUUAACAUUCUUGUGUUUUUGUGUGCAUUUUAAAAACUAUACUUUUAUAGUUGACUCUUCCCACCUAGCAUUAAAUAAUCAUUAGUAAAUAAGUAAUAGAAGUUUUCUGUUACCCACAGUAAUCUUCUGUUUAAGUGCAUGUUUGGAUAAUGUUCUCAUACAUAUACCCUGUGAUAAAGACAUGCUAAUUUGCAUUUUCUCUUCGCAGACUUACUUAGUCAUUUACAUCUAUCAUGAUUUGGUUGUAAUAAGCUUGGUAUUUUGGAUACUUGUUUUCUAUUUUCUUGUUUCUUAUUCUUCUAAUCCUCUUUUCAUAUUAUCUUUUGUACUAAUCAGAUAUCUUUUGGUAUUGCAUUUUAAUUCUUCUUUUGACUUUCCAGUGAUAUAUUACUUUGCCUUAUUAUUUUAAUGGUUGCUUUAUUUAGAGAGAAUAUUGAAUUUCUUUAGGUAAAAUCUGGAAACCUUAACAGAGACUCUUUUCCUUAGUGCUCUGGUUGUUAUAAAUUAGAAACCCCAAUACAGUGUUGUAAUUUUUGCUUUCAACAACCAUAUGGUUUAAAAAAAAAAAAAAAGAAAAAGAAGAAAAGAGGGACACCUGGGUGGUUCAGUCAGUUAAGUGGCUGACUCUUGAUAUUAGGUCAGGUCCUGAGAUCAAGCUCUGUGUCAGGCUCUGAGCUGAGCCUGGAGCCUGCUUGGGAUUCUUUCUUUCCCUCUCUCGCUGCUCCUCCCCCUACUCAUGCUCUCUCUGUCUGUCUCUCAAAAAAAGAAAGAAAAAUUGAAAAAAGAGAGAAGAAAAGAAAGUUGGAUGUAUGGUAUAUUAUGCUCCUAUAUUCCCAUUCAUUUUCAUUUCUUCUUGUAGAUUUCUGUUGCUAUCUGAUACUGUUUUCCUCCCUUAACUACUUCUUGUAAAGGAGGUCAACUGAUAACAAAUUUUUUUGUUUUUUUAAUGUAAAAAUGUCUAUUUAACUUCACGUUUGAAAGAUAGUUUUGCUGGACGUACACUUCUUGGUUGACAGGGUUUUCUUCUUUCAGCUCUUUGAGUAUGUACUUCCAAUGUCUUGUGGCAACCAUUGUUUCUGAUAAGGCCAUUGACCAUAUUAUUUUCUCUUUACUUUUGGCUUUCAACAUUUGUGUGUAGGUGUGUUUUCUUUCUGUGUGUAUCCUUUUUGGUUUUGUUAAGUUUCUUCUCUUUGUAAGUUAAUGCUUUUCACUGCUUCUGGCUGCCAUUUCCAUUCUGCUUUUGAGUCCAUUUUGUGAAUUUUUCAUUUCAGUUUUUGUGACUUUCAGGUCUAGAAUUUCUAAUUGUGAAAAUACAGCUUCUGUUUCUCUGUUGAGAUUCCCUUUCUGUUACUGACUGAUAAUUCACCUUUAGUUUUUUAACAUAUUUAUUAUAGCUGUUUUAAAGUCUUUAUCAACUAAAUGCAACAUCUGAGCCUACUUGGGGUUAAUUUUUAGUGAUUGUUUUUUUCCUAAGUAUGAGUUAUAGUUCCUUUUUAUUAAUUUGGAGGUGAAAAUUGUACAUGCAGAUAAUAUGUUGUAGCACCUUUGGGUGGUGAUGGUUGUUUUAUUUUCUUUUAAGGAUUGUUGUUUUUUGUUCCAAGAAGUAUUUAACUUUCCUGGGCUUAGACUACAAACUGGUUUCUGUCAUUCCACUAUGCAGUAGGUUUUCAGCUGCCAAUUUUUUAGUCUGCCUCUUUGGACUGGGAAGUCUACCCUCUGCAGUUUAGUGGUUUGCCAAGAUUUGGGGCUUACCCUUGAUAUCAUUCAGGUUUUCUUUUCUGGAGAUUGCCACUUAAUUUCCAAUUUCUCUUUUGGCUUUGGACUAUCUUCUCUUCUAUUUCUAAGUACUAAGGCUUCUAUCCAUUCAAGUUACACACAGUUGGGGAAUGCUCUCCAUUAAAAAAGACAUCAAACUUAGGGAUCUCACCCAGUGCCUCUGUAUCUAUAAAGAAUAUUUCCUUUCUGGUUUUUGCUUUUUUUCUAUCUGCUUUAGGUUCUUCACCAUGCAUAUGUAGUUGAGCUGUCAGUCAGGGAUUUAAAUCUUGGCCUUCUACUUAACUAUUUGUGUGACCUUGAGAAAAAGGACUUGCCGCCUUUGAUCUGAAAGAUGAUAUUUUUUAUAGUGAGAAAUACCAUAUAUUGACGUGAAAAAUGCAUGAAACAACAAGUGUAUGCCAUACUCUGACUGUAGUUUUUGCUAUCACGUGGUUCUCUAUAUUGCUUUUAUAAUAUUUUACCUACUUAGGAUGCCACUGGUCAUGUAUUUAUGUCCCUAACAUCUUUUGAUUCUUCUUAUUUAAAAAAUAAAACAGUUUGGGGGAGCCUGAGUGGCUUAGUCCAAUAAGUGUCCAAGUCUUGAUUUCCCCACUCAGGUCAUGAUCUCAUGGUUUGUGAGAUCAAGCCCUACAUUGGGCUGUGCACUGACAGCAUGGAGUCUGGUUGGGAUUCUCUCUGUGCUACUCUCUUUGCCCCUCCCUCACACAUGCAUGCAUGCUCCCUCUUUCUCCAAAUAAAUAAAGUUUAAAAAAAAAACAACGUGAGAUAAAGAUCACAUAGUUAUUGAUACUGGGAGGUGUAAGUUUUCUGGUAGUUUGAGUUAUGUUCAUACUGUUGGAGUUAGCAAGUUGUGUGGGAUUUGAAAUGAUGCAUACAUUAUGCUAUUUUUAAUGCACAGUGUUGUAACUCAUUCUUGAAUGGCUAGUAAAGAGCAUGAUGGGCUAGGUAGAGGACUGAAUUCUUUGACUGUAAUCAGCAGUUCUGACUUGGUUCAUUGUAAAGUCACAUGGUCACACCAUCCACUUUUAUCUGUGGCACUUGAGUUUUGAGCUUUGCAUUAAUGCCACUGGAUAUUAAUAGACCAUUGUUAACCAGAGCAGAUUGGAUUCCUGUAAAACAAUACUUUGUUUUGAGAGAGUAGUCUGUAUGGGGAGCAUUACACUGAAUACACCAAUCACCGACAGCACGGAUAGGAAAUGUUGGUAGCUUUGGGAUGAUAUAAUUGGCUAGUACUUGAUGAAAAAAUUGUUAGAAUAAACCCAGCCACUUUGGCACCUAAAUGUACAUAUGUACGCAUCCAUUUUUAGUUACUAAUUUUGCUAUGUUUCAGGAUUUAAUUUAAUGCUUUAGUUUACACUA